rnacentral:rRNA from 1 species
AGCGUCGGGCCCAUACCCGGCCGUCGCCGGCAACAGGAGCCUCGAGGGCUAAGCCGCGACGAGUAGGAGGGCCGCCGCGGUGAGCACGGAAGCCCAGGGCGCGGGCCC